rnacentral:RNase_P_RNA from 1 species
CCGGGGAGCCGGGCAGCCGCGGGGUGUCGCGCCGAUUCAUCGAACGCGCACCGCGAGGAAAGUCCGGGCUCCACGAAACAAGGGUGGCGGGUAACGCCCGCCGGACGAGCGUGGUCAUUACCGAUCGCGCGAAGUUCAGGGAAAGUGCCACAGAGAGCAAACCGCCGAUGGGACCUGCUUUUUUCGAAAGGCGUGCGUUCACAGGUAAGGGUGAAAGGGUGCGGUAAAAGCGCACCGCGCUACCGGUAACGGCAAGCGGCAUGGCAAACCCCACCCGGAGCAAGACCGAAUAGGGACUGCGCGCCAUCGUGAAUGGCAGGUUCGUUUCGAACCGAGGCAGUCCGGGUUGGUCGCUUGAGCGUUGCAGCAAUGCAGCGCCUAGAGGAAUGGCUGCCGCCGCGGCGUAAGGUCCCUCGUUCAAGGAAACUUGAGGGAGACCACGCCAGGCACAGAACCCGGCUUACAGGCUCCCCGGCACA